UGAGGAAUAUUGGACAAUGGGCGAGAGCCUGAUCCAGCCAUCCCGCGUGCAGGAAGACGGCCUUAUGGGUUGUAAACUGCUUUUGUAUAGGAAUAAAUCGCUUCACGUGUGGGGUGUUGAAAGUACUAUACGAAUAAGCAUCGGCUAACUCCGUGCCAGCAGCCGCGGUAAUACGGAGGAUGCAAGCGUUAUCCGGAUUCAUUGGGUUUAAAGGGUCCGUAGGCGGGCUAAUAAGUCAGUGGUGAAAUCUUACAGCUCAACUGUAAAAUUGCCAUUGAUACUGUUAGUCUUGAGUGAUUUUGUUGUUGCUGGAAUGUGUAGUGUAGCGGUGAAAUGCAUAGAUAUUACACAGAACACCGAUUGCGAAGGCAGGUAACAAAGGAUUAACUGACGCUGAGGGACGAAAGCGUGGGGAGCGAACA
rnacentral:rRNA from 1 species